UCUGUUCGUUUAUGUAUUCUAUUGAGCGCCUUUAAACGAACAUCGUUGAGGGAGAGACCGAAUUGACGUUCGCACAAUGAGACUUAGUAGGCAAUGACAAGUUACUCAAAAGCACAUACACAUUCACACACUCAAUUUUCGUACACUAUUUAUGUGUUUAGCGAGCACAACAGUCGCUUACAUAUAUACCAAUACCAACUCAAGCAAACGAUCUCACUUGCUCGUCGAUCGCGAACGAGCUCGUUAGAGAACCGAAGCCAUCGCUUGCUCUCUCAACUUUUUUCUCAGUGGGGGUAAGAGAAGCUUAUUUCCAGACAGCAAGAAGCAAUCAAAAGUCAUAUGUGCGCUAGAGGAGUGAGGGAGAGCUCGUUGAGUAUUUCUUGCAAAAUAUGAAGUCUCUGACACUUAUAGUGCUGGAUAUAAAACAUAAUAUACAUAUACAAAACGCUAUAUGGGUAGAUGCGAUUUGCCACGCCCGUAUUGGACGUGGGCGUUUCAUGUCUGCGGCAAGAUUUACAAGACCUUAAAAUUAACUUUUUGGAAUGUCAUUUAUAAAUUCCAGGCUUCUACUCUUUGGCUCUGCAAAUAAGAGGAAUUGUGCAUAUCGGAAAAUUCUUGUGCAGCUGAAUAUUUAUACCCUGAGCCCAUUAAAAGUGGUAAAUCCUAGAAUAGUGUCUUUUUUAUAGAUUUCAAAUCUGUAGCUUUAUAUGAACAAAUGAACGGAUCGUCAGGCGAACAGACAGACGAACAUUUUACUCCAUGAAUGAGUAUAAUGAGUAUGAAUAUGAUAAUGACCAAUGACGAUACCAAUGAAAAUAACAAAUAUAAUGAUAUGCCAUUUA